AUGCGGCACUGGUCUUUAGCCAAAGAACUUUCUGGAACUAUUAAGGAGAUCCUGGGGACAGCCCAGUCUGGGGGCUGCAACGUGAACAACCGGCACCCUCAUGACAUCAUAGAUGAUGUCAACAAUGGCGUUGUUGAACACCCCGUUUCUCAGCUGCUAAAAGAAGAGACGAAGAUCUUAGCAAAGUCUCAAGAUGGCACUUCUCAAUUCCAAGAAGUCAUUAGACAAGAGCUAGAAUUAUCUGUGAAGAAGGAAUUAGAAAAAAAUACUUAGCACAGCACCCUCACAUGAGUUUGAGCACACUAAAAAAGAUCUUGAUGGAUUUCGGAAGCUAUUUCAUAGAUUUUUGCAAGAAAAGGGACCUUCUGUGGAUUGGGGGAAAAUCCAAAGACCUCCAGAAGAUUCAGUUCAGCCAUAUGAAAAGAUAAAGGCCAGAGGACUGCCUGAUAACAUAUCUUCUGUGUUGAAUAAGCUAGUGGUGGUCAAACUCGAUGGUGGUUUAGGAACCAGCAUGGGCUGCAAAGGUCCUAAAAGUCUGAUUGGUGUGAGGAAUGAGAAUACCUUUUUGGAUCUGACUGUUCAACAAAUUGAACAUUUGAACAAAACCUACAAUACAGAUGUUCCUCUUGUUUUAAUUAAUUCUUUUAAUACGGAUGAAGAUACCAAAAAAAUACUACAGAAGUAUAAUCAUUGUCGUGUGAAAAGCUACACUUUCAAUCAAAGCAGGUACCCAAGGAUUAAUAAAGAAUCUUUACUUCCUGUAGCAAAGGAUGUAUCUUACUCAGGGGAGAACACAGAAGCUUGGUACCCCCCAGGUCAUGGUGAUAUCUACGCCAGUUUCUACAACUCUGGUUUGCUUGACACCUUUAUAGGAGAAGGCAAAGAAUAUAUUUUUGUGUCUAACAUUAUAAUCUGGGUGCCACAGUGGAUCUUUAUAUUCUUAAUCAUCUGAUGAACCCACCCAAUGGGAAAUGCUGUGAAUUGGUCAUGGAAGUCACAAAUACAACACGUGCAGAAGUAAAGGGUGGGACACUCAGUCAAUAUGAAAGCAAACUGAAACUGGUGGAAAUCGCUCAAGUGCCAAAAGCACACGUUGAUGAGUUCAAGUCUGUAUCAAAAUUUAAAAUAUUUAACACAAACAACCUAUGGAUUUCUCUUGCAGUAGUUAAAAGACUGCAGGAACAGAAUGCCAUUGACAUGGAAAUCAUUGUGAAUCCAAAGACUUUGGAUGGAGGCCUGAAUGUCAUUCAGUUAGAAACUGCAGUAGGGGCUGCGAUUAAAAGUUUUGAGAAUUCCCUAGGUAUUAAUGUUCCAAGAAGCCAUUUUCUUCCUGUAAAAACCACAUCAGAUCUCUUGCUUGUGAUGUCAAACCUCUAUAGCCUUAAUGCAGGAUGUCUGACAAUGAGUGAAAAGCAGGAAUUUCCUACAGUGCCCUUGGUUAAAUUAGGCAGUUCAUUUACAAAGGUUCAAGAUUACCUAAGAAGAUUUGAAAGUAUACCAGAAAGUAUGCUUGAAUUGGAUCACCUCACAGUUUCAGGGGAUGUGACAUUUGGCAAAAAUGUUUCAUUAAAGGGAACAGCUAUCAUCAUUGCAAAUCAUGGUGACAGAAUUGACAUCCCACCUGGAGCAGUAUUAGAGAACAAAAUUGUAUUUGGAAACCUUCGCAUCUUGGACCACUAAAAUGAAAAAUACUAUGUAUACUUUUUACUAAUUAUGAGCUAAAGAGUUUCUUACAAUGUAACCUCUAAGAUUCUAAAAUAGGUACUUUAUUAUGUUACUGUACCCUGAAAUACUGAUUCUUAAAGUAGUUUUCUGCUGUUAGUCUUAAGAAAAAGCACAGAUGAAACAAUACUUGCCUUCCGUGAAGAGAAUCCUGAAGGUUAUCUUAAAGUGCAAUAUUGUUUCAUCAUAAAACUGAAGCAGUCUGCUGGAAGAUCUUUUAACAGAAGCCUCACUGACAGUUACUUUGAAUUGCGUGUGAUUUCAACAAUAAAGAGGUGGAGCACUAAAUGUGUACACUUUGUCUUUUUAAUGCUAACUUUAUUAAUUGACAAAAU